rnacentral:rRNA from 1 species
AACGAACGCUGGCGGCAUGCCUAACACAUGCAAGUCGAACGAGACCUUCGGGUCUAGUGGCGCACGGGUGCGUAACGCGUGGGAACCUGCCCUUAGGUUCGGAAUAACUCCCCGAAAGGGGUGCUAAUACCGGAUAAUGUCUUCGGACCAAAGAUUUAUCGCCUUUGGAUGGGCCCGCGUUGGAUUAGCUAGUUGGUAGGGUAAAAGCCUACCAAGGCGACGAUCCAUAGCUGGUCUGAGAGGAUGAUCAGCCACACUGGGACUGAGACACAGCCCAGACUCCUACGGGAGGCAGCAGUGGGGAAUAUUGGACAAUGGGCGAAAGCCUGAUCCAGCAAUGCCGCGUGAGUGAUGAAGGCCUUAGGGUUGUAAAGCUCUUUUACCCGGGAUGAUAAUGACAGUACCGGGAGAAUAAGCUCCGGCCAACUCCGUG